rnacentral:rRNA from 1 species
GAGUUUGAUCGUGGCUCAGAGCGAACGCUGGCGGCAGGCUUAACACAUGCAAGUCGAACGGUCGUAGCAAUACGGCAGUGGCAGACGGGUGAGUAACACGUGGGAAUGUACCUUUCGGUUCGGAAUAACUCAGGGAAACUUGAGCUAAUACCGGAUACGCCCUUACGGGGAAAGAUUCAUCGCCGAGAGAUCAGCCCGCGUCCGAUUAGCUAGUUGGUGGGGUAAUGGCCCACCAAGGCUCCGAUCGGUAGCUGGUCUGAGAGGAUGAUCAGCCACACUGGGACUGAGACACGGCCCAGACUCCUACGGGAGGCAGCAGUGGGGAAUAUUGGACAAUGGGCGCAAGCCUGGAUCCAGCCAUGCCGCGUGAGUGAUGAAGGCCCUAGGGUUGUAAAGCUCUUUCGGCGGGGAAGAUAAUGACGGU